rnacentral:tRNA from 1 species
GGGGCUGUAGCUCAGUGGAUAGAGCAGCCGCCUUCUAAGCGGCCGGUCGUGCGUUCGAUCCGCACCAGCCCCGCCA